UUUUAUUGUCGUCUGGUAUACUUGUAUUUACUAAAUAUUUGAUUAGCAAAAAAUUUAAAGUAUGAAGUGGUCAGUUUUCUCUUUUCAAUUAUUUGACACUUUGUUAUCCCGCGGCCUCUAAGUAUUCACUUUGUUAAAGGCAGUACAGUGACAUACAUGUAAAGUUGUUUGAUUGAAGAGAAGUUAAUCUACUUAUGUAGAUAGAGUCAUGUGCUAUAAAAGCAGAGAUUUUGGUUUUAACAAGGAUUACAGUAUGUGAAUAAUUUCCCUUUAUUUACGAAUAUUUUGUAUAAGCGUUCCUGGUGAAGGUAAAUCCAGAAAAGCGAUUUGGACGCAUACAAUUGAUAGUGUUAUUUUCAUUUUGUAACAAAGAAUCAAACAUAUGUUAUUCUAGUACAGAGUGUCAUUUUCGCAGGGGUAUUGUAAUUUAAAAUUCACCGGCCAUAGCAGAGGAUUGUUUACUAUAACAAUAGAAUUUCCCGAUAGGAACACACUUAUUCUGUAGGGUACAAUUACUUUUAAAUUCCCGUUAUAUGGUUCUAUUGAUUGAAAGAAUGGUCCAUUGGGUACCAUAUUUAUACAACAAUAUCAGCUGGUCGGGAAUACGCAAUAAAUCUCUACUCUUUUUUUUAGAUUUACAAAACUGCGAUGAUGCUACAGGCAGCUAUACAAACGAUGUAAACAAAAGUGGGAAUGGAAAAGAAAAUGGAAGAAGGAAUGACAAAAAAGACGACGACGAGAAAAACGGAAGAAAACAAAUAUUCAAACUUAGAGAGAUAAUUGGAAUAACAGGCACACUCAUAGUACUGUUUCUAUUGAUACAGAUUAGUAUUUUCGUAUGCAGACGAAGAUCAAAUCAAAAGAACAAAAGACAACUGAUAAGAUUGCAAUCUAUUAACCAAAGAACUGACAUGAGAAAUCGUGGAAGUUUUCCCUAUAGUUCGAACAUAGGAGGACACAAUAUUCUUCUCGAUCCCUCAGUUCCAAUACAUGGCAAUACCGCAAACAGCCGGGUAUUACCAGAGGUUACAAGGUUAAAUGUUGCAGAGGGUGACGAGAAUGUUUACCAUUGUCAAUGGUAAAACAGCACAUCCCGGUAUAGCACGACGAUAGACAGGAGAUGUAAUGAGUGUGACCCUCUAGUGAAAUUUGUCUCUUAUUUCAUCAACUUAUAUAAAUGAAGGUUAUAUCAGGAAUGAAACAAUAGUUUUAUCAAAAUAAAAAAGCUACAAUUAAAGUCACACUGUCAUGCACGUGGGAGGUUUAGCUAGCUAUAAAAUCAGAAUUAACCUACCCUUUUUGUUUUUCGGAAAAUACCUGAACCAAUCAGGAAUAUCACAAUAUUGUUUUCCAUUUUUCCGUUGUUUGAACGUUUGAUUUUGUCAGUUUUUAUUUACUUACUUUUUUAAAAAUUUUCCUUGUA